AAUAUUGCAGCUAUUUGUGAACGAAUUUUUCUCGUAAGGAGAUAUUUACCAUGUCUCUAAGAAAUGGACCCAUAUAUGAUUUCUAAACUGAUUAAAUGAUGUUCCCAUUAUGCUUUGCACGCUUAGAGUUUAAGGUUUGCAAAGGACAACCUUUUUUGAAUUAGCUGUAUAUAAUAAAACAAUUAUUGAAUUCGGUUUUCGUAUGAUAUCCGGCUUCGGUGGAUAACACAAACCUCGGCCUUGAUAAUUCUCGAUAUCAUACGAAAACCGAAUUCAAUAUUAAGUCUACUGCGACGGCACAAUUACGACUAAUGAUAAAACCAUGUUCGCAUUUUCAAUUUCAUCUAUUUUUCCAAUAUAUAUUUCCCUUCGCUUCCAACGCUGGUACCGAGGUCAGCUACACGCGUAAGAAAUCUCACAUCUUGUAGCAAGUCUGCCAACACUGCUUGUCCCAACUUGUCAACAAGUUUGGAACAAGCUGUUAACAACUUGUAACAAUCUUGUUGAUACUAUCAGACUUGUUGCAAGGUUGUUCCAACAAGUCCGAUACAGUCAUGAGAUAACAAUAUUGUCACAACCUUUUGUCGUCAACCUUGUAACAUGCUUGUUAUAUCAUGACUGUAUCAGACUUGUUAGAACAACCUUGUAACAAUAUGUUUGCGAUGUUACUCUGAGUGCAUAUCCACACCGGGCGAGCUUGAAAAAUAUGCCCGGCCACGGUGGGAUUCGAACCUACGACCUUUGGAAUACUAGCCCAAUGCUCUUCCAACUGAGCUACGCGGUCA